ACAUGCAAGUCGAACGGGGUCCUAGGGUAGCUUGCUACCCGACCGACCUAGUGGCGCACGGGUGAGUAACACGUGGGCAAUCUGCCCGGAAGACUGGGAUAACAGCCCGAAAGGGCUGCUAAUACCGGAUACCUUCACGGAAUCGCAUGAUUCUGUGAAGAAAUGUAUUUCGCUUCCGGAUGAGCCCGCGUCCCAUUAGCUAGUUGGUGAGGUAACGGCUCACCAAGGCAACGAUGGGUAGCUGGUCUGAGAGGACGAUCAGCCACACUGGAACUGAGACACGGUCCAGACUCCUACGGGAGGCAGCAGUGGGGAAUCUUGCGCAAUGGGCGAAAGCCUGACGCAGCAACGCCGUGUGAACGAUGAAGGCCUUAGGGUCGUAAAGUUCUGUCAAGGGGGAAGAAGUUCUGACGGUACCCCUGGAGGAAGCUCCGGCUAACUACGUGCCAGCAGCCGCGGUAAUACGUAGGGAGCGAGCGUUGUCCGGAAUUACUGGGCGUAAAGGGCGUGUAGGCGGCCAAUCAAGUCAGGUGUGAAAAUCCAAGGCUCAACCUUGGACGUGCACUUGAAACUGGUUGACUUGAGUGCAGGAGAGGAAAGUGGAAUUCCCAGUGUAGCGGUGAAAUGCGUAGAUAUUGGGAGGAACACCAGUGGCGAAGGCGACUUUCUGGCCUGUAACUGACGCUGAGGCGCGAAAGCUAGGGGAGCAAACAGGAUUAGAUACCCUGGUAGUCCUAGCCGUAAACGAUGGGUACUAGGUGUAGGGGGUUUAGAUGCCCUCUGUGCCGCAGUUAACACAUUAAGUACCCCGCCUGGGGAGUACGGCCGCAAGGCUGAAACUCAAAGGAAUUGACGGGGGCCCGCACAAGCAG
rnacentral:rRNA from 1 species